ensembl:miRNA
GGGACGGGGCCUGCAGGCAGAAGUGGGGCUGACAGGGCAGAGGGUUGCACCCCCUCACCACCCCUUCUGCCUGCAGCGGUGGGCU